AUGGCGUCCAUCCUGCCCCGGCUGCUCCUUCGCCGCCGACGGACUCUGCAGCCCUCCGCCACGGCUCUGUUCUACCUACGGUUCGUCGCCUCGUCUCCUCACAACGGUCCAACCACCAUCAGUCCCCCACGCCUCGGCGCACUGCCCGAGCGUUCCCGUGCGGCUGCUGGAUUCGCGACAGCUGCGCGGAGACAGUCCCCGGCGAGGCGCGGGAGCACGGCGGUGACGCUGGACACGGACGGAAGCUUCGCGCGCUUCUCGGUCGGAGACGAACCGCGCACGACGCAGCCGCAGGGGAAGAAGAAGCAGAAGAUGUCCAAGAAGUCCAAGGUGAACCAGCUCAAGUGGUUCCGCCUCAAGGCCAAGAAGAAGAUGAAGUCGCCCAACCCCGAGGUCCGGAUCAGAUACAAGCUCGACAAGGCGAAGAGGAAAGAGGAGUGGCUGAUCGAGAAGCUCCGGAAGUACGAGGCGCCCUGGAGGGGUCCGGCGCCGGUCCAUGACCCCGAGAUUCUGACCGAGGAGGAGAGGUUUUACCUCAAGCGAACCGGGGAGAAGAAAAAGAACUAUGUCCCCGUCGGGAGGCGAGGGGUGUUCGGCGGCGUGGUCCUCAACAUGCACCUCCACUGGAAGAGGCACGAGACCAUGAAGGUGGUUUGCAAGCCCUGCCGGCCUGGCCAGGUGUACGAGUACGCCGAGGAGCUGGCCAGGCUCAGCAAGGGGACCGUCAUCGAUGUUAAACCGGAUAAUACGAUUAUCUUCUAUCGUGGGAAAAAUUAUGUGCAACCGAAGGUUAUGUCGCCUCCUGAUACUCUGUCCAAGCAGAAGGCCUUGGAGAAAUAUAGGUUUGAACAAUCUCUUGAACAUACCAGUAAAUUUAUUGAGCAGCUGGAGAAGGAGCUUGAAGAUUACCAGAAGCAUGUUGAGUUAUUUAAGAAGCGUGAGGGGGCUAUUGCUGAGGAGAUCAGUGACGGAGACGCUGAUGUUGAUGAUCUCACAUCUAGCUCAGAUACUGAAUGAAUCGUCUUCUUGAUCAAUUGUCACCUCGGCGCAGAUCCUUUCACAAUGGAGAUUUGAUAUGAUCUUGCUGCCCUAAAUUUGAGUGCAUCUGGUUUGCCACCAAACAUUCCCAAUUUUUUGGAAGACAGGUGUGGCAAGCAUUCGGUCUUCUCUAGCAUUGUGCCCCACUGUCAUAGACUGAGCUCUAAGAGUCGCACUGAGAGAUAGUGAAGUUCAGAGUCAGCAGCAUUUGAAUACAACAUGAGCUUUGGAUGCUCAUGGCGGGCGAGAUGAGUUGUGUUUGCAGCUUUCAUCAGAAAUGAGCUUCCUUGGAUUGUCAGUUAUGAAAAUCAACUUGUGUGUCUUCUGGAGAAGGAUCUGCUCAAAUAUAAACAUUGUCCAGGCUACUCAAGUUGUUGAGCUUCUUCAACAAGUGGGCGUUGAUUCAGCAGCAGCAGGGCUUUGGCCCUGAUUGUGGAGCAAGUGUGAGAAGCUAGCUAUGUCCGAGGAAGCGGAGACGUCGGCGAGGAGGAUGGUGGGUACACCACGAUUGUGUUGGGGAAAAAGAUGUGGUUCAUCAUCCCCUUGCGCCUAAAAAAAGGUUAUAUUUUUUGGACAACUCUAAUUGGAUGACUCGGUGCUUAUAACAUGAAGAUGAUGAGGAAUUGAGAACUUGAGAUCAAUUUCUUUUCUUUCUAUUUCUGUUUGUACUCUGUUACUUGCGAUGAUUUUGUAAGGUGCAAGUUAACUGCUGUAUUUUCCUUAUUCUAGGAGAUAAUCUUGCUGCAACUUGCAAGGAAAUUAAUUACUUGUUGCUGUUAA